CAAGGUUAAAACUCAAAUGAAUUGACGGGGGCCCGCACAANCGNUGGAGCAUGUGGUUUAAUUCGAUGCAACGCGAAGAACCUUACCUACUCUUGACAUCCAGAGAACUUNCCAGAGAUGNNUUGGUGCCUUCGGGAACUNUGAGACAGGUGCUGCAUGGCUGUCGUCAGCUCGUGUUGUGAAAUGUUGGGUUAAGUCCCGCAACGAGCGCAACCCUUAUCCUUUGUUGCCAGCGAUUCGGUCGGGAACUCAAAGGAGACUGCCGGUGAUAAACCGGAGGAAGGUGGGGAUGACGUCAAGUCAUCAUGGCCCUUACGAGUAGGGCUACACACGUGCUACAAUGGCGCAUACAAAGAGAAGCGACCUCGCGAGAGCAAGCGGACCUCACAAAGUGCGUCGUAGUCCGGAUCGGAGUCUGCAACUCGACUCCGUGAAGUCGGAAUCG
rnacentral:rRNA from 1 species